rnacentral:lncRNA from 1 species
GCUCAUGGCUUAUUUCUGCUUGUGAGACCAGGUCACUGGGAUAAGCUCAGUCAUCCGCAGAGAGGACAGUCUCCUGCCUCCAUAUCAAGAAGCAAGGACGUAACCUGGCCUGACAAAGCCAGACCAACCUGGUCACCUCACCACGAAGGUCUACAGCCAGGGGCACCUUUACCGUGGAGUUCAGGCUGUCCUAAAAAGGGAACAGAGAAAGGGGCCCAUUCCUCUGGCGUUUGUGGUCCAACGGAUACAAGUGACAAAAUUUCCCCACCUGCCAGUCAUAGGAGCUCAGCAUCACCACCACCCCACCCCCAACCCCCCCUCCUCCGUCAGGAAGAGAGGUGGAACCACAGCUGUCUUUUCCGCUACUGCACCCCUUCUGGAGGGAUGUGGAAGUUCCUCGUGGAAACAGGGAGCGAGCUAAGAAUUCCCCCACGCAGACGACAUCCAUUUCACGGCUACCGUUCAACCUCUUUCUUUAGAUGCAAUUUAGAACGGCUCUGUGUUCCUCCAUGUCUCGUUUCAUGACCUCUAAAUCCAUCCUCCCUUUGUCUGCAAUUUCAUCUCAUAUAAAUAACUGCUGGUGUCCGAGUUCAUAUCUAGGUAAUUCCCCUCACCCACAUUAUUCACGGGCUGACGUAGUUUGGGGAAAACCUCAGAUCUUUUACAAGAGUUUUGUCAGUGAUAAGCAAAGAUCAAUGGCUCACAGACAGGGAGACUCGGGGGCUCCCAGUUACUGCUGAUUCACAUCACAAGGGCGGAAACUAUGAUACCUGCUUUACCUGAAGCUGUGGAAGGGACCCUGGACCUCUCCCCGCCUCGGCCACGCAGGCCUCAGGGACUGGGUGGAAUUCCCCCGAGACCAGCUUCCAGGUAGGGCUGGAAUCAUGGCAUGGGCCUUGGCGCAGACGUCCUUGCUUUAUGCAGGGUAACUGAGCAGGGGCCAAGGGGUGCUGGGGAGUGGGCUGGCCUCCAUCCUGCCUGUUUCCUCCACUCCACAAAGCCAGGCCACUUGGUUGAGGCCAAGUUCAACUGAGCAACCUGACUUGGGGAGAGGCAAGCCCAGUCAGCAGAGGUGUUUUUGCAGCUGAUUUAUACUCCCAGGCAUCCUUACUGUGAGUUCCUUGAAAUCCUGCUAUUUACUAUUCCUUCACCUGGUGGACUGAAGUUUUCCAAUAAACUGAAUGGUGUAUGAGGCACUAUGAAGAUGAGGGAGUCAGGUGAAGCACCGGGGAGAGGGCCACACAGCCUGGACCAAAGGACCGCCUCUUGCCACAGUUCCAGGGCCAUCACAGAGAGCUGGUGUGGGCCCCUGUAGACCUGUGUCUGCCCUUGCCACGUAUCCAAGUUUACUGAGGUUGCUGUAAAAAAAAAAAAAAAAAUUACCGCAGACUUGGUGCCUUGAAACAUAAAAAUUUAUUCUCUCACACUUUCGGAGUUUGGACGACUGAGCUCUCUCCAGGGUCCUCAGAGAGAAUCCUUCCUUGGCUUUUCUGGCUCCUGGUGGCAGUCCCAGCAGUCCUGGACUUGGGGUUACAUCACACCAAUCUCUGCCUUUGUCUUUACAUCGCUGUCUCCUCUGCGAGCUACGUCAAAUCUCCCUCCGCUUCUAUCUUAUAAAGACUCUUGAGAGCGCAUUUAGGUUCCAUCUCAAUAAUUCAUGAUAAUCUCUCUAUUGUAAUCUCCUUGGCCUAACCACAUCUGCAAAGACCCUUUUUCUAAAUAAGUUUACAUUUACAAAUUCCAGGGAUUAGGACUUGAUAUCUUUGGUUGGGGGCUUCCCUGGUAGCUCAGCUGGUAAAGAAUCCACCUGCAAUGCAG